rnacentral:rRNA from 1 species
UACGGGGGGUGCGAGCGUUGUCCGGAAUCACUGGGCGUAAAGGGCGCGUAGGCGGCGCGACAAGUCAGGCGUGAAAGCCCCGGGCUCAACCCGGGAAUUGCGCUUGAUACUGUCGUGCUUGAGGCCGGGAGAGGAUGGCGGAAUUCCCAGUGUAGAGGUGAAAUUCGUAGAUAUUGGGAAGAACACCGGUGGCGAAGGCGGCCAUCUGGACCGGUUCUGACGCUGAGGCGCGAAAGCGUGGGGAGCAAACAGG